UACGUAGGGGGCAAGCGUUGUCCGGAUUUAUUGAGCGUAAAGAGCGUGUAGGCGGCCAAACAGGUCCGCUGUGAAAACUCGAGGCUCAACCUCGAGAGGUCGGUGGAAACCGUCUGGCUAGAGUCCGGAAGAGGAGAGUGGAAUUCCCGGUGUAGCGGUGAAAUGCGCAGAUAUCGGGAAGAACACCCGUGGCGAAGGCGGCUCUCUGGGACGGUACUGACGCUGAGACGCGAAAGCGUGGGGAGCGAACAGG
rnacentral:rRNA from 1 species